GAUGAACGCUGGCGGCGUGCCUAAUACAUGCAAGUCGAGCGAACAGACGAGGAGCUUGCUCCUCUGACGUUAGCGGCGGACGGGUGAGUAACACGUGGAUAACCUACCUAUAAGACUGGGAUAACUUCGGGAAACCGGAGCUAAUACCGGAUAAUAUAUUGAACCGCAUGGUUCAAUAGUGAAAGACGGUUUUGCUUUCACAUAUAGAUGGAUCCGCUCCGCAUUAGCUAGUUGGUAAGGUAACGGCUUACCAAGGCAACGAUGCGUAGCCGACCUGAGAGGGUGAGCGGCCACAGUGGAACUGAGACACGGUACAGACUCCUACGGGAGGCAGCAGUAGGGAAUCUUCCGCAAUGGGCGAAAGCCUGACGGAGCAACGGCGCGUGAGUGAUGAAGGUCUUCGGAUCGUAAAACUCUGUUAUGAGGGAAGAACAAAUGUGUAAGUAACUAUGCACGUGUUGACGGUACCUAAUCAGAAAGCCACGGCUAACUACGU
rnacentral:rRNA from 1 species